rnacentral:rRNA from 1 species
CUGGCGUCAGGAUGAACGGCUGGCGGCGUGCUUUAUACAUGCAAGUCGAACGUGAAGCUGACUUCGGUCAGUGGAAAGUGGCGGACGGGUGAGUAAUACAUAGGAAAUCUGCCCUUAGGAAGGGGAUAACAGUCGGAAACGAUUGCUAAUACCCUAUAUGAGCUUGGUUGCAAUACCAAUCUUGAAAACUCCGGUGCCUAAGGAUGAGCCUGUGCCUGAUUAGCUUGUUGGUGGUGUAAUGGACUACCAAGGCGACGAUCAGUAGCUGGUUUGAGAGGAUGAUCAGCCACAAUGGAACUGAGACACGGUCCAUACUCCUACGGGAGGCAGCAGUAGGGAAUUUUGGGCAAUGGGCGAAAGCCUGACCCAAGCAACGCCGCGUGUGUGAUGAAGCCCCUAGGGGUGUAAAACACUGUCAGUAGGGAAGAAACUUGACUGUACCUACAGAGGAAGCACCGGCUAACUCCGUGCCAGCAGCUGC